rnacentral:lncRNA from 1 species
AGUUUGAAGAACAUCAUCUAUGAAUUUUGAAUCCUCUCCACGCUGAAUUUUUUUCCGAUCACCUGGCAUCGCUCACGCAAGCAGAUAAAUCUGAGUCGGUGCCCCAAAUUAUCGCCCCAAAAUAUUCGUCAUAUAGACAACCGUCUCUCUAGUCCAAAUUGUUGGUGUUUUCUUGCCCACUCCAUUCUUAAUAAGCUAUACCCGGUAUGGACGCUAUCAAUUUUUGGAUUUGUUUAUUAACCUUUUAUUUUUUUAAAGAAG